CGAGCCGACCGGGCGGCCGCGGCAUCCUCGGGCCACCGGGGAGUCGAGGAACGUCCGGGCUCCACAGAGCAGGGCGGUGGCUAACGGCCACCCGGGGUGACCCGCGGGACAGUGCCACAGAGAACAGACUGCCAGCGCAUGCGCUGGUGAGGGUGAAACGGUGGGGUAAGAGCCCACCAGCGCGACGGGCGACCGUCGUGGCUCGGUAAACCCCGUCCGGAGCAAGACCGCACAGCAGGCGCUUGAGGGCUGCUCGUCCGAGCCUGCGGGUAGGUCGCGUGAGGCCACCGGCAACGGUGGUCCAAGAUGGAUGGUCGCCGCCGCCCAACACCGGCAACGGUGGGCGGUAACAGAACCCGGCGUACAGGUCGGCUCGUCCG
rnacentral:RNase_P_RNA from 1 species